rnacentral:lncRNA from 1 species
UAUACAACAAGCUUUAAUAAGUUUAAAAUGAUUGUAGUUAGAUAACACUUAUUCUUUGAUGACAAUGGAAUUAAAUUGGAACUUGAUAACAGAUAUCUAGGAAAUCUCCACAUACUGGGAAACUAACAUUUCUAUUUAACACUUGGGUCAAAGAAAAAAAAUCAAAAGGAAGAUUACAGAUGAUUAUGAACUAAAUGAAAAUUAAACAUAUCAAAAUCUGUGAUGCUGCUGAAAAUGCAUAUAUGUGGAGAAGUUAGUAACACUAAAUACUUGUAUUGGAAAACAGAUCUUCAUUAAUCAACUUUAGAUUCUGUUUUAAGA